AAAUCGGUGUCUUUAGACACCACCCCUUAUCUUAGAAAAUUUGUUU
rfam:Picea glauca, whole genome shotgun sequence.